AUAUAUUUUGCAAGAUUUCCUCCAACUCUGUGGAUUAUCUUUUCAUUCUCCUGUCUUUUAAUGAAGUUCAGCUUCUGUUUUUUCUUUCACUGAUCAUGUCUUUGGUGUUACAUUUUAAAAGUCGUCUCCAAACCCAAGAUUACCUAGAUUUUCUCUUGUAUUCUAGUUUUAUAGUUUUGCAUCUUAAAUUUAGGUCAGAGUUUCCAUAUAAAUGGAUAUUUCUUAAUUUUCGUUAUUGAUUUCCAACUUAAUCAUGUUGUAGUCAGAGACCUCACUCUGUAUAACUUCAAUCCUUUAAAAUUUGUUGAAACUUGUUUUACGACCCAGGAAGUAGUCAAAAGUAAAUAUUCUACGUGUGCUUGAAAAGAAUGUAUAUGCUGAAAUUGCAGCCUGUCCUAUAUAAGCCUAUUAUGUUAUUCUUGUCCAAAGCUUCUACACCUUAAUUGAUUUUUAAAAAAUUUUUCCUAUCAAAUGAGAGAGGUGUGUUAAAGUCUCAUUCUGUGACUUUUGAUUUAAUUCUUACAUUUCUGCUCAUUUUUGUCUUAUUAUUAUUGAGACCAUAUUGUUGGAAGAAUAUAUAUUUAGAAUUAUUGUAUCUUCCUGGUGAAAUGAAACUUUCAUCAUUAUGUAGGCUCUAUCCCUAGUCAUAUCCUUUAUCUUACAGACUUGAUCUAUCUAAUAUUGACAUAGCUACAGGUAGUGAAUGUUGUGAUGUUCUGCUCAGAUCCUCCGUCAGGACUGAUGGUAUUCCCUUAGCUGCUGGAAGUGCUACCAGAUGACAGCCUUCACUCACCAGCCCUCUGCAGGAAUUGUCCUCGCCUCAUCCAAAGCCACAGCCUACAUCCUAUGACUGGUCAGAGCAAGGACCUUGGUAUGCUAGAAGCCUGAAGAGUGAAGCUCGAGGUCCUUGAGGUUUACUUCCUCACUCCAGAGUAAGCCCUUUGGAGACCGAACCCACAGUGGAGAUUAUGGUAGGCGCUAAACUCUGACCUGUGUUACUUAACUCUGACCUGUGUUAUUUAGUACUGCCAGUCUACCAAACAACUGCCUCUCUGCUGCUUUCCAGAGUCCAAGGAAAAUGCAGCAGUAAUUUGGGAUAGAGGAUGGACCGAAGAGGAGGAUGCAGCCUGCUACUUCCAAAGAUGAUAUUCCCCAUCUCUCCCCUCUUUCCUCACUACCCUGAGCGAAAAUCCAACAGAGAUGCCUUUGAUUUAUGUAUCCUAUCACAUAGCUGUACUUUAGCUGCAAAGAAUGCUGGAAAACUAGCAUUUUAAGGUUUUAUAGAGGGUGUUGCAGACACAAUUCUAAGAUGAUCCCCAUGAUCUCUGCUUCCUUGGUGUUGCAGCUACGAUUAGAUUACACUGCAUGGCGAAGGAAUCUUACAGAUCUAAUUAAGGUCCCAAAUCAGUUGAUUUUGAAUUCAUAAGGGAAAUUAUUCUAUGGGUCUAAUAUAAUUAUAUGAGUUCUUUAAAAGCAGAGUUUUCUCCAACUGGUAGCAUAAGAUGUAAUGAGAGAGAUUCCAAGUGUGAGAAGGACUGAAUACGCCACUGCUGCCUUGAAGAUGGAAGGAGCCACGUGGCAAGGAAUUCCAGUUCCUGGAAGCUGUGAGCACCCUCCAAUCUCCCCAUCCUCCAGCAGCCAGCAAGGAAACAGAGGCCUCAGUCCUACAAUCACAAGGAAUGGAACUCUGCAAAUAACAGGGUUCUGAGGACCCAGUCUCUGGAACGGUUCUACAAUAACGUGAAGAGCCGCUUCAAACGCUUUGGCAGCGCCAAGGUCUUGAAGAACCUGUACAGGAAACACCGGCUGGAGAGCAGAGGGUGCUUUGACAUCCUAGAGGACGAAGCUGAAGUCUGAAGUGUUAAGUGCCUGCUCACAGUAAAACUGCUAAGUGGUAGAGUCAGAAUAUAAGCCAGGCAGCCGGGGAUCAAAGAGGUGGUUCUCCCUAGCAGGAGCUCACAAAGUAACGAGGGACGGCAGGAAGGGUGGAAACUGCAGUCUGCUGAAAGACAGACUUACUUAAAAGAAGAAAAUGAGGCUGGGCCCUGAUCGAGCUGGUGAGUCAAGUAGUAAUAUGCACAGUUUAUGUAAAAACUGAUGACACUGUCUUGCUUUUAAAAACUUUGUCUCUCUCCAAUACAGGACAGAAGGCUUCAGGGUGGUUUUAUAAGGAACAAGUAAAGCACAACCUCCUUUCAUAUAAUCCCAAGCAAACACUUACAUCUUUGGUAUCUCUUUGUUGGGUAAGAUUUUUAAAAUUCAGGCUCAACUAGAAUUUCCAAAGUACAAAGGCAAUUGAAAGCUAAACAAUAUCUUAAGGAUGGAAGAGCUGUUCGCCAAGAGUAACCCGAAACGAUCCAUUUGCGUCUCCACAUGCCAUACCCAGACAUGUCAGACUCAUCUUUGGCUUACCAUGACAUUUUCACAUGGCCCUAACUGCUGUCUGCAGUCCUUCAAGUCAGAUCUCCCAGCCGUAGACCGUCUGUGACAUCUGAGUGGCCAGUUUUAGUGGCAGCCUCACCCUGCAGCCAGUUUCUAGAAGUCCAGGUGAAAUCUUUCACUCCUGUAGCAUGCUGCCUGUAUGCUAAUGGCAUCCCUUCGACAUGGCAGCCCCUCACAGGGGCUCCAGAGGACAGAGCAAGACAGUCCUUAUUGCCUCGCUGAAAGGAGCCGCUUCUUGAAAUGGCUUCAAUUGAAUCAGUCCCACCCCCUCUGAGAUGCCAUCAAAACCGCACGACAUUACCCAGGGCUUCCACGAGCCAUGCCAAGGAGCUCCCUCCCAUCACGAGGCAGAAAGCACUGCACCUCUGAAGCAGGGAGGAGACUCACUCCACAUAAAAUGGAACUUUAAGAACAAGAAAACCCCGGGCCUAGACAUACCCAUUAUUAAAUUUAGAUAUCAAGUCCAAGGCUCACACACAGACAACUAUUUUCUCCAGGGACGAGGCGAGACAAUCAACACGAAUUCACAAUCCAUGCCACACCCAGCUUACUGAGAUUUCCCUUUGCCCAAAGUGCCAGAAUCAGCAAUGCCGCUGAUGGGGACCUGGGGCAGAUCAACUUCUAAGGCGCUCCUGACCCCUCCUUCCUUCAAACAACAUUCACCAAGUCCCUGCCUUUGCAGGAGCGCUGUGCCAGGCUGGGGCUGCCAACUCAUGAGACCUAGUCUGGUCCAGAAUCCUGAAGUAUAACCUUAAAUGGGUCAACUACCUGUUUCCUUGGAAAAAAGACCCACACCAUUACCUGCUCUCCUGUUUUACUGGAGGCCAGUGAUGAGGAAUCACCAAAGAUUUAAGUAUCUUGACGGGCACUGUACAAAUGUAAAAGAUUACUGGACAUAGAUUCCAGAUUCAACGAAGAAAAAAAUAUUACAAUCUGUAAUAAAUACAUUUUCUUCCAUACAAAUUGUGAUCUCUAUAUGUGGAUUUUUCUUAAAGGAUGAAGAGUAUGUCAGACGUACUAUUUACAAUUUUAUCCCAUCCUAUUUACUUCCUGUUAAUUAAAUCAUUAACAGAAGCAGGAAGAGAGCAAAAGACUGCCUGCAAACAAUGCCCCUUUAUCAGGAGGGCCCAGGAAUGGGUUGUCAGAAUGGCUGACAGGACUGUUAGGCGUCUGGUUCAAUUUGUGAGACAAAUUUUGAGAAGGGCCUUUGCUUACAGCUUAAGGUGAUUAUAUCUCAUAGCUAAAUAGAACGGGUGAAGAAAGUUUUCGUUCAUUACUGAACACAUCCUUAUGUCUCAUCUCUGCACAGGCUGGACCCAAAUGCCAUCCAAAUUCCAUUAUGGACACAGGAAGCCAAGGACGCCACUUGCCACAGCGUUGCUCUGUGCCAGCUGCAGCUGUCUGGGCUUCAUUUUAAUGAAGGCAGACAAAGGGGGCUCUCGGCCUUGAACAUUCCUCUUGCAAGGCCCAGAGGGAAAAGUGACAUUAGUAAAACAUUCCUCCCUUGUCCUUUUAUCAAGGCCACCCCAACUCAUCCUGUCCUUCAGUUGGUCCUGUUGUCUCCACCUCCACAAUGUUAGGUUUCCAUCUCCUCGCACAGACCACAGUCCAUCCCAACAUCAAGACUCCCCUGGACUGGGACUUCCCUGGUGGCGCAGUGGUUGAGAAUCCACCUUCCAAUGCAAGGGACACAGGUUCGAGCCCUGGUCCGGGAAGAUCCCACAUGCCGCGGAGCGGCUGGGCCCGUGCACCACAACUACUGAGCCUGCGCUCUAGAGCCCGCAAGCCACAACUACUGAGCCCAUGAGCCACAGCUACUGAGCCCGUGCACCACAACUACUGAGCCUGUGCUCUAGAGCCCGUGCUCUGCAACAAGAGAAGCUACCACGAUGAGAAGCCCGUGCACCGCAACGAAGACCCAAUGCAGCCAAAAAUAAAUAAAUAAGUUUUAAAAAAAUCAUUAAAAGACUCCCCUGGACUAAUGCAACAGGACCCUAACUGCUCUCCCCACUGAAACUCCUGUGACCACACCAGUCUUCCAUGGAGCACCCCAUUUCAGCCUAGGAGGCUCUGAACCAGUGCUUCUCAAGAUAUCUGGGGUGAAGAACUGUUCUUCACCACCCCCAACGCCCACCUCUGCUCCAGUUCAUUGUGGACCAGGUGUUCUCAAAUACAAUAAAAAUGAGUUACUGAUAAAAUUAUCACAUGCUUUGAUGCUGCAGAAAUGUCAAACUGCUGUAAGUUUUUGACUGCUUCCCUCAAGCCGGGCCAGUAGCAGUUUGAGGACUGGCAGCCCACAGACCACACUGGAAUAACUCUGCUCUAAAAUGCUCUGUAGGGCUUCCCUGGUGGCGCAGUGGUUAAGAAUCCGCCUGCCAGUGCAGGGGACACGGGUUCGAGCCCUGGUCUGGGAAGAUCCCACAUGCGGCAGAGCAACUAAGCCCGUGCACCACAACUACUGAGCCUGCGCGUCUGGAGCCUGUGCUCCGCAACAAGAGAGGCCGCGACAGUGAGAGGCCCGCGCACCGCGAUGAAGAGUGGCCCCCGCUCGCCGCAGCUAGAGAAAGUCCUCGCACAGCAACGAAGACCCAACGCAGACAAAAAAUAAAUAAAUUUAUAAAAAUAAAUAAAUAUAUUUAAAAAUUAAAAAUAAAUAAAUAAAUAAAUAAAAUGCUCUGGGCUCCACCAGCCUCUCAACCACCCACUCUCUCCCUGGCUUAUUCUGAUCUAGCCAAUUUCACUACGUUCAAGCCAAGUUUGAUGGCCUCGAACUUGUUUCCCUAGGAGUUUGGCACUUGCUGUGCCCUCUGCCUGGACCGUUCUGGCCCUGCAUUUUCCCAUGGAUGGAUUCCUUCCAGGCACUCAGGGCUCAGUCCCAAAUGUCACCUGGAGAAGUCUUCCUCUGCCAUCUAAUUUAGAGGACAGAUCCCCAUCCCAGCACUUAACACUCCGGAAUACAUUCCUGGCUUUACUGUUUCCACUGCACUUAUUUAUUUUUUACAUUGGAUGAAGAAAUGCUUUCCCACCAUCCCAGUUCACUGUAGGCCAUCCGCCCAGGCAGACUGGCAAAAGUUCAGUGCCACCAAAGUCACCUCCUUGAGGGCAGGAGGCACAGAGGCAUAGGUUCUUCAGUGGAACAGAAGCCCCCAGAGGGCAGGGAUCUGGUCUCUGCACUGUUCACUGCUACAUCCCAGCACUUAGAAUAGCACCUGAAAGGAUGCAGGUGCACAAUAAAAGUUCACUGAGUAAACAGGGAGAAAUGAAAGCUGCUCUCUUGAGAAAUGCAGCUGAAAGGGGAAGGGGAGACUUAGGGGUGGGUUGGGGGCCAGGAGUAGUACAGCAGAGGGUAGGCAAGACAGAAAACAGGAGGAGAAAAAUGAACGAACGAGAGGGGCACACACAGCAAGCACCUGGAAUUCUCGGGGACAAGAUCACCGGGAGCAGUGCUGAGGGGCUUCCUUGUAGAGGAAAGACUUGGCACUUGGCGUGAGCCCUGAGAAGUAAGAUAUUUGGUAAUUCGAGGAGGUCUGAGAAGGGCAUUCCAGGAAGUAGGAAAAACAUAGGCAAAGGAACAAAAAAGGAAGUUUAAAUGGAAGAUAAUUUGAGGGAUGCAACAUCUAUGCAGCAUUUUAUUAUAAACUAUUUCAAACCAUAUGAUGCCUUAAAUUUACCACAAACUUUUUCAUUUUAAGUCUAUGAACUUAAAAAGUCACAUUUUAGUAGUUUUUCACAUUUAAUAGCAACUAGCUUCCUGGAGUUUCCCUUCCAGAGCCAGAACGAGGCCAAGCUGAGCAGCAAGAUGGGGGUGGAAUAGUCUCCGAGAUGGCAGCUUCUCAGAAGCUUAAAAUUUGUUAUUAGAAAGAAUAUCAGAUUCAGGAAGGUCAAGGUCUAGUCCCAUUUUGGCAGUAACUCACCUCCUGUGUGACUUUAGGCAAAUCACUUCACCUUUUUGAGUCUCAUCUUACAUCUGGGAGAAAACUGAGGGACUUGGGACUACAGACCUAUAAUUAGGGUCACAACAUAGUUUAUCGUCUAGAGACACUCUGGAAAGUCAAAGAGGGUGCUAUUCUUAAUUUUGCCAGAACAACAGACAUAACACUGAUCAAAGAAACCGAGAUGUACAGUCACCUAUCUUACUUAUAUGCUUCAGUUCUGAAGCACCAUCCUUCUCUAGAAACACCCAAGGCUCCCUUCAUGCUCUCUAGCUGGCCCUGUGCCUGGCACAUCCCAGAUGCUCACUAAGCGUUUGCCCCAUUUCCUUUGGGUGAGCUUGUCUGCAUUCUUUAUGUAAUCAAAGCUAUUGAUCUGUUCUUCCACAGCUUCACUGCCUUAUAAUAGUUGAACCGUCCUUGAUUUCACAUUCCUCCGUAUAACCCCAGGUGCCUCUACUAAGAACAGUUUUGCAAAGAAGUACCUAGGUAACGGUAUCUGAUGCGCAUUUCCUGAGUUGUUUUACAGAUGCUAAAACCACCACCAAAUGGAAGAACUUAACUACUUGAUGAUCAUGAGCCCCCAGACCCACUGGCACCUAAGGAUUCAUGAUGUCAACCACCCUGUUAGCUCAACACCGACCCCUCAGAGAAUUGUGCACGAGCUGAUCACAUCCCCCGCGACCCCCUCCCUCCUGUGGCCUUUCCUUCGGGGACGUGGGGGUUUUUAGAGUGCGAGUCACCCAUCCUCCUUGUAUUGGUGCCUUUACAAUAAACGCCGCACUUUCCUUCACCACACCCUGGUGUCAGUAGAUCGGCGUUACUGUGCACGGGCGAGCAGACCCGAGUCUGGUUCAGUAGCAGCCCGGGGGGACUUGACAAUUAAGCCCCCCCAACCCCGUUCCCUUCAUCCUGUGAGGAUGGGCUGCCUACUAACUGCUGGUGAGACUGCAGGCACAAACAGGAUGGCUUCUGCCUCUGCAUAAACUCUGGAUGGGAAAGAGGGACCGUCCACAUGUUAGGGAACCGUUGAUCGAAACUGCCCUCCUUGGCCAGGCACGACGAUAACCACUUGCAUGAGGUGUCUCACAACAGGAGGUCCUGAUAGGGACAUGGGGCUGCCGUGGAAAAGUAACCAGGAGAAUUCGGGAGGGGCCGAAAGGCGGGAGGAGAUGCCAGCCCAUAGUGGGCGCCAACCUCCCAGAAACGGUCAUGCUAGAAUCCAUCUUGGCUGAGAGAUGCGAGAACCACCGGGGAGGACCCUGAGUCAGAUCAGAUACGGGCAACAAGCAAGACGAUUGGUCAGAGACAACCCAGAAACUAACCCCAUUACCAUAAAACCUGAGACCGAGAGCCACAUGGCAGAGCAGUCCUCCUGGGUUCCCUCACCCUGCUGUUCUCCGCCCAGGCACCC